rnacentral:rRNA from 1 species
UACGAAGGGGGCUAGCGUUGCUCGGAAUCACUGGGCGUAAAGCGCACGUAGGCGGAUUGUUAAGUCAGGGGUGAAAUCCUGGAGCUCAACUCCAGAACUGCCUUUGAUACUGGCGAUCUCGAGUCCGGGAGAGGUGAGUGGAACUGCGAGUGUAGAGGUGAAAUUCGUAGAUAUUCGCAAGAACACCAGUGGCGAAGGCGGCUCACUGGCCCGGUACUGACGCUGAGGUGCGCAAGCGUGGGGAGCAAACAGG